rnacentral:snoRNA from 1 species
AGACCGUGGUGGGGACAACGUCUAAGUAUUUCUUUAAAACACUCCCACACAUAGAAAAGAGAUUCCCCGUUCUUUUGAGUAAAUUGGUAAAGCUUUCCCCUAAGUUG